rnacentral:rRNA from 1 species
UACGGGGGGGGCAAGCGUUGUUCGGAAUUACUGGGCGUAAAGGGCUCGUAGGUGGCCAACUAAGUCAGACGUGAAAUCCCUCGGCUUAACCGGGGAACUGCGUCUGAUACUGGAUGGCUAGAGUUGGGAGAGGGAUGCGGAAUUCCAGGUGUAGCGGUGAAAUGCGUAGAUAUCUGGAGGAACACCGGUGGCGAAGGCGGCAUCCUGGACCAACACUGACGCUGAGGAGCGAAAGCCAGGGGAGCAAACGGG